rnacentral:lncRNA from 1 species
CGGGCCUUGAUCGAUAGGUGACUGAAUGCCAACUGACACCUGGGGGCAUGGCUGGUGCGUUCCUGCAUCGCUACAGGAAGUGACUCCACCUUGAACCCUCUCUCACCCCCAGCGCACUUCCUGUUCUUGGACCUGGCGUCUCUGUCCUCCAUGUGCAGCUACGUCAAGAAAGGUAUACAAAUUGACACGGAAAUAUUCAUGGAAAUGUUGGUUUUAUUGGAUAUGCAAAUCAGGUCAUUAAUAUGCACGGAUCACCUCACCACGUUCUGCCAACACUCGUCUCUUAUGUGAGUCAGCGCUCAUUUACAUAUGCAAAUCAUCUCGAGGAUUCUCGGUGCCUACCAGCGCUUCCUGGUUAUGCAAAUCAGAACCUGCAAGAGGGUGCCUGGGCCUCACCGUACCCAGCGGCGUCACGGGAGCUGGAAGAGGUUGGAGGUCUCCACCUGUGGAAUGAGGUGGAGGCAGAAACAGAGCCGGGAUGGGGGGAGGGGCAG